rnacentral:rRNA from 1 species
AGAGUUUGACCAUGGCUCAGGACGAACGCUGGCGGCGUGCUUAACACAUGCAAGUCGAACGAGGGCCAGGGAGCUUGCUCCUUGUACCCGAGUGGCGGACGGGUGAGUAACACGUGACUAACCUGUCCCAGGGUGGGGGACAACCUGGGGAAACCUGGGCUAAUACCACAUGAUGUCUCGUCGUCGCAUGGCGAUGUGAUCAAAGAGGGCCUCUGCUUGCAAGCUCUCGCCCAGGGAGGGGGUCGCGGCGUAUCAGCUAGUUGGUGGGGUAAUGGCCUACCAAGGCUACGACGCGUAGCGGGUCUGAGAGGACGACCCGUCACAUUGGGACUGAGAUACGGCCCAGACUCCUACGGGAGGCAGCAGUGGGGAAUAUUGCGCAAUGGGCGAAAGCCUGAUGGUGCAACGCCGCGUGGGGGACGAAUGUCUUCGGAUUGUAAACCCCUGUCACCAAGGACUAACUAGCAUUCGUUAAUAACGGGUGCCUUGAAUUAACUUGGAGAGGAAGCAGUGGCUAACUCUGUGCCAGCAGCCGCGGUAAUACAGAGACUGCAAGCGUUAUUCGGAUUCACUGGGCGUAAAGGGUGCGCAGGCGGCCAGAUGUGUCAGGUGUGAAAGCUCGAGGCUCAACCUCGAAACGGCCCCUGAAACUAUUUGGCUAGAGUAUCGGAGAGGGAAGCGGAAUUCAUGGUGUAGCAGUGAAAUGCGUAGAUAUCAUGAGGAACACCAGAGGCGAAGGCGGCUUCCUGGACGAUUACUGACGCUCAGGCACGAAAGCGUGGGUAGCGAAAGGGAUUAGAUACCCCUGUAGUCCACGCCCUAAACGGUGCAUACUAGGUGUUGGCGGAUUCGAUCCCGUCAGCGCUCAAGCUAACGCGUUAAGUAUGCCGCCUGAGGACUACGGCCGCAAGGCUAAAACUCAAAGGAAUUGACGG